GUAGGGGGCAAGCGUUGUCCGGAAUUAUUGGGCGUAAAGCGCGCGCAGGCGGUCUCUUAAGUCUGAUGUGAAAGCCCACGGGCCUCAACCGUGGAGGGUCAUUGGAAACUGGGAGACUUGAGUGUAGGAGAGGAAAGUGGAAUUCCACGUGUAGCGGUGAAAUGCGUAGAUAUGUGGAGGAACACCAGUGGCGAAGGCGACUUUCUGGCCUACAACUGACGCUGAGGCGCGAAAGCGUGGGGAGCAAACAGGAUUAGAUACCCUGGUAGUCCACGCUGUAAACGAUGAGUGCUAGGUGUUAGGGGUUUCGAUGCCCUUAGUGCCGAAGUUAACACAUUAAGCACUCCGCCUGGGGAGUACGGCCGCAAGGCUG
rnacentral:rRNA from 1 species